rnacentral:lncRNA from 1 species
UAUAUAUAUAUAUAUAUAUAUAUAUAUAUAUAUAUAUAUAUAUAUAUAUAUAUAUAUAUAUAUAUAUAUAUAUAUAUAUAUAUAUAUACGUUAGUAUAUAUAUAUAUAUAUAUAUAUAUAUAUAUAUAUAUAUAUACACUGUGUAUAUAAAUAUAUAUAUUUAUAUAUACACACACCUUUGAAUAUAUAUAUAUAUCAUUCAUUGGGAUAAAUUGUGUCUGACUUUUUAUUGAUUACAGAAAAUACUCUGCUGCUAACAUCAGCACUAACCUGUAUGUGAUCAGCGAGCCGUGGCUGUAUUCUCUUGCCUGGUGCGCAGGGGCUCAUUCUGUCGCCACUAAUGCUGUUCACAUCCUCAAAAACCUGCAAAGACCGCUCUUUCUCAUGGUAAAUAGCACACAUCUACAGUUCUCAGGGAUUCGUCCAUCCUGUAUUUUUUUCCCUUUGGUUUUCCUCUCUGUUUCUCACAGACACCAGAUGAGUACAGGCUUAUGUGGACUAUUACUGACAUCACUUCCCUUAUUCUUGUCAUGAUUAUCUUUGUGUUUCACUGGUGGAGGGAGCGUGAGUUGGCUCUCAGUGUGGACAGCAGUUCAGUAAUUGAGAAUGGGUCCUACAGACAGUUCAGGACAGAGAUGAAUGAUGUGUGGUCUUUAUCCAACAUGAGUGCCUCUGACAAGCAAGAACCAUCUCUUUGAAGUGCCUGACGAAAUUUUCUGGUUCAUAUUUAACCCCUUAUAUUAAAAAAAAACUGUAACUGAUGUUCAGUUAAGCCAGUAUAAACCACUGUGUAUGUGGUACAUUGAAAUCACCCUUUACAUUUUAUAAAAUUGUAAGUGUUUGGUACACAAAAUAACU